rnacentral:rRNA from 1 species
GGGUGAGUAACACGUGGAUAACCUACCUAUAAGACUGGGAUAACUUCGGGAAACCGGAGCUAAUACCGGAUAAUAUUUUGAACCGCAUGGUUCAAAAGUGAAAGACGGUCUUGCUGUCACUUAUAGAUGGAUCCGCGCUGCAUUAGCUAGUUGGUAAGGUAACGGCUACCAAGGCAACGAUGCAUAGCCGACCUGAGAGGGUGAUCGGCCACACUGGAACUGAGACACGGUCCAG